UACGUAGGGGGCAAGCGUUGUCCGGAUUUACUGGGCGUAAAGAGCGCGUAGGCGGAAGCUUAAGCGGUGCCUGAAAGCCCCCGGCUCAACCGGGAGGGUGGUGCCGAACUGGGCUCUUGAGGGCGAUAGAGGAGGGUGGAAUUCCGGGUGUAGCGGUGAAAUGCGUAGAGAUCCGGAGGAACACCAGUGGCGCAGGCGGCUUCCUGGUCCAGCACCGACGUUCAGGCACGAAAGCGUGGGGAGCAAACAGG
rnacentral:rRNA from 1 species